GUGCUCACAUUGGCGGUACAUGUACUGAAAGUGGACCAAUACAUAGAAAAUUAGCAUGGCUCCUACACAAGGAUGGCAUGCAAAUUCCUGAGGUAUUCCAUAAUUUU
ensembl:snRNA U6 U6 spliceosomal RNA